CUCCCGUUGAAAACGCCUGGCUGUUGUUUGCCCGGGUUAUAGGAGGAAGAAGUUGUCCACCUCCCCCCCUUUGCUCUGUCUGAGGAUUGGGAACACCGAGGGAAGCCAGCAGACUCUCGCCGAGGAAGCUUCACUGUCUCCUGUGACCAGACGGACGGGGACCGGUGGAAGUGAAUGGGAAGAGGGAGAGAGUAGUGGGCUGAAAGCCAGGAGGGAUAUAACCUACUACAUCACCUUGUAGCAAAGCGCGGUGCGACGCUGCAACUCCUUGAGCCAGCGUGCAAACACCGCUGCACCGGAUUGUUGUGGGAGCUAAACAAGGGAAUGACAUAAACACACCCAGAGAUGGUUUACUACCCGCGGGGACCUUCAGAGACACUACUACCACCACCACCACCACUGCUGCUGCUGCUGUGAACUUUUCUGUCCUAAAACUGUACAAACCAGAAAGUAAGGGGAGAUUACAGAGAAAGUGCUUCUGCUUCUUCUUAUCAGCAAAAGGGAUUAAUUAUGCCGGACCAAAUCACAGUUUCAGAGUUUGUGGCAGAGACUAAUGAAGAUUAUAAAUCGCCGACCGCCUCUAACUUCACCACCAGGAUGUCCCACUGCAGGAAUACAGUGGCUGCCCUGGAGGAGGCUCUGGAUGUGGACCGCAGUGUUCUGUACAAGAUGAAGAAGUCUGUGAAGGCCAUCUACACGUCUGGUCUAGCCCACGUAGAGAACGAGGAACAGUACACUCAGGCUCUGGAGAAGUUUGGAGAAAACUGCGUGUACAGAGAUGAUCCAGAUCUGGGUUCAGCUUUCCUCAAGUUCUCCGUCUUCACCAAGGAGCUCACUGCGCUCUUCAAAAACCUGUUCCAAAACAUGAACAAUAUCAUCACCUUUCCUCUGGACAGCCUGCUGAAAGGAGACCUGAAGGGAGUCAAAGGGGAUCUGAAAAAGCCUUUUGACAAAGCCUGGAAGGACUAUGAGACAAAAGUCACCAAGAUAGAGAAGGAGAAGAAGGAGCACGCGAGGCAGCACGGGAUGAUCAGGACGGAAAUCAGUGGGGCAGAAAUUGCUGAAGAGAUGGAGAAGGAGAGAAGAUUCUUCCAGCUGCAGAUGUGUGAGUAUCUCCUCAAAGUCAAUGAGAUCAAAAUCAAGAAGGGGGUGGACCUGCUGCAGAAUCUCAUCAAGUACUUCCACGCGCAGUGCAAUUUCUUUCAGGACGGUCUGAAAGCCGUGGACAACCUGAAGCCUUCCAUAGAAAAACUGGCCACAGAUCUGCACACGAUAAAGCAGGUGCAGGAUGAAGAGCGGAAACAGCUGACUCAGUUACGAGAAGUCCUCAAGUCAGCGCUACAGGUGGAGCAGAAGGAGUCUAGGAGAGAAUCACAGGUCCGGCAGAGCACCACCUACAGCCUGCACCAGCCACAGGGUAACAAGGAGCACGGCACCGAGCGCAGCGGGUACCUUUACAAGAAAAGUGACGGGUUGAGGAAAGUGUGGCAGAAGAGAAAGUGCACAGCAAAGAACGGAUACCUCACAAUCUCACACGGCACAGCUAACCGGCCGCCUGCUAAACUCAACCUGCUCACCUGCCAGGUGAAACACAAUCCUGAAGAGAAGAGAAGCUUUGACCUCAUAUCCCACGACAGAACGUAUCACUUUCAGGCCGAGGACGACCAGGACUGUCAGAUCUGGAUCUCGGUGCUACAGAACAGUAAGGAGGAGGCUUUGAAUCAGGCCUUUAAAGGGGACCAACAUGUCGGCGAGAACAACAUCGUGCAGGAGCUGACCAAGGCGAUCUUGGGAGAGGUCAAGAGGAUGACGGGAAACGACGUGUGCUGCGACUGCGGAGCGCCCAACCCGACAUGGCUGUCCACCAACCUGGGCAUCCUAACUUGCAUUGAAUGUUCGGGGAUCCACAGGGAGCUGGGAGUCCACUACUCCAGGAUCCAGUCGCUCACUCUUGACGUACUCAGCACCUCAGAGCUCUUGCUGGCCAAGAAUGUGGGGAAUGCAGGCUUUAAUGAAAUCAUGGAGGCUUGUUUAAGUGCUGAAAAUGUGGUGAAACCCAACCCAUCCAGUGACAUGCAGGCGAGGAAAGACUUCAUCACGGCCAAAUACACCGAGAAACGUUUCGCCAGGAAGAAGUGUCCUGAUUCGACGUCGCGGCUCCACACGCUGUGCGAUGCAGUGAAGGCCCGGGACAUCUUCUCGCUCAUCCAGGUCUACGCAGAGGGGGUCGACCUCAUGGAGCCCAUACCUCUGGCCAACGGACACGAACAAGGAGAGACGGCCCUUCAUCUCGCAGUCAGACUGGUGGAUAGAACGUCUCUUCACAUCGUCGACUUCCUCACUCAGAACAGUCUGAAUUUGGACAAGCAGACAGUGAAAGGCAGCACAGCGCUGCACUACUGCUGCCUGACCGACAACAGCGAGUGUCUGAAGCUGCUGCUGCGGGGGAAGGCCUCCAUAGAGAUUGCUAAUGAGGCCGGGGAGACACCGCUGGAUAUUGCUCGGAGGCUCAAACACCUACAGUGUGAGGAGCUGUUGAACCAAGCGCUGGCAGGGAAAUUCAACGCCCACGUCCAUGUUGAAUAUGAAUGGUGUCUGCAGCAUGAAGACUUGGAUGAAAGUGAUGAAGAUCUGGAUGAGAAGCCCAGCCCUCAUCGCAGAGACGAGCGUCCGGUCAGCUGCUACACCCCGAGCAGUAACUCCCACCUCCAGACCAGUCUGGGGUCUGCGGGCCGCGACGCCGCCAACCUCACCAAGGACAAGCAGCGUGCCUUCAUGCCCAACCUGGUCAACAAUGAGACCUAUGGCACCAUCCUCAACAACCCGCCUCAGUCCUCCACCACCUCUGCUCCGCCCCUGCCCCCGAGGAAUCUGGUCCAAUUAUCCGGUCUUGGGGCGAUUGGUCAGUCUUCAGCAUCCAGCAGCUGGAAGCCUGGUCCUUUAGAUCUGGUUGGCCGACAGAGGUCGUCCUCAGACCCCCCCAACAUGCACCCUCCUGUGCCCCCCAUGAGACUCACAUCAACUGGAGGUCUGGGUUCUGCUUCGGUGGCGAAGAUGGAGGCCAUGAACAUACAGUCCAAGUUGGGCCAGGGACCAAUGGGGUCCAGAGUAGCGCCACCUAAAUCUCCGGCAGGCAAUGAUAAAAGCUUCAACAGAGGACCUCUGAAUCGGACACAAUCCAUCGAAAGACCAGCUAAGGAAGUGCCAGGAUGCCCCCAGAACUCCAUAGGUCAGUCUCUGCCUCCAGCCCCCAUGCCGAGGAAGGCCUACCCAAAGCAGAGGCCCAAACGGGUGAAAGCCAUCUACAACUGCAUAGCCGACAACCCGGACGAGCUGACCUUCUCUGAGGGCGAGGUGAUAGUGGUGGAUGGAGAGGAGGACCAGGAGUGGUGGGUAUAGAAGACAUUUAAAAUGACUUAAAUGGACAUAAUAAGUACUUCCUUCUUUAUCGGCCAAGCUGGGCCACAUCGAAGGCGAUCCGAUGAGAAGAGGAGCCUUCCCGGUUACAUUUGUACACUUCAUUGCUGACUGAACGGUUGCUCUCUGGGUGUCAGGAACAGAAUGCAGCGUCCCGUCUCCGCCAGCCAGCAAAACCUCCACCGUCGUCCCAAUGUUUGUUGUCAACAUCCAUCGUCUUUAAUGGCAGCAUCCGCAAGCUUGUUAGAGUGUCACUGCUGUAUCAUCACCUCGGCUGCAAAUCUGCUUGGGUGUCAUCCUGGCAGCCAUAGCUUAGACUUGCGCCAGAAAGUCUGGGUGUCGCUCCUUGCGGAGGACCCGUGGGACUGUAAUGUGGGUUUUAUUGCUUGCUGUUCAUGUUUCUGACAAAGACUCUAAGAUUUAAAACAAACAAAAAAAAAACGAUGAUUGUAGUGAAUGACCUCUCGCAAUAAAUGCACUUUCCUUGUCUUUAUCCUUGUUACAACAUAAGACGACAUGUGACAUAAUGAAGGUUAUAUGUACAGUAUUCAUUUCAUCCGUUUUCUGCUCCGCUGCGUUGUACAGAAUGUCCUGAAAAGCGAUAGUACUGAGAAGACAACAGCAAUGUAUUUUAUCUUACUAACAACUGUAAAUGUGAACAUAGUCAACAUGCUUACAUUCCAUCACCGUGCACGAGCGAUUUUAAAUGCCUACCUGCUUUUCAACCCUGUAGUGGGCCUCCUAUGUGGAGGUUUUUCUAAUGGUGCUAAAUUAACCCUGGAAUAUGCUAGAAGCUGCACCCAAGGGAGCGCUUCCCUGUCCCCCGUAUCAAAGACAGACUGGCGUGAAAGGGAGGAAACGCAAAAAUAAUGUAAAAAAAAAAAAAAGCCUCCAACUCAUCACACAGACACAUCAGUGAUGGAAAUGUAUGCCACAUCAUCUUCUACAACUGAUUCUCCACACACAUGCACACACACACCACCUGUACUAAUUUAUAGAUAAUGUUAGCAACACUCCAGUUCUUCCUCCUGUACUGCUUCAGGGCGAAUGAUGAGACUGACUGGAGCUGCAGCAACCAGUAAUUACCGUUCUGCUGAGUCUGACACAUCAGCCUGUCUUUGCCUGUCAUCUGCCUUAUUAGAGGAAUAGUGUGUGUGUGUGUGUGUGUGUGUGUGUGUGUGUGUGUGUGUGUGUGUGUGUGUGUGUGUGUGUGUGUGUGUGUGUGUGUGUGUGUGUGUGUGCUGUGUGUGUGUGUGUGUGUGUGUGUGUGUGUGUGUGUGUGUGUGUGUGUGUGUGUGUGUGUGUGUGUGUGUGUGUGUGUGUGUGUGCUGUCUGCACAGUAUAAGCUGAGAAUGAAAGAAUAUUGAAGUUAAGAAAUAAAAAAAGAGAGAGCGUGGGAAUGUGAUGAAAACCGGGAGGUAGCUCUGUGACUUUUGUUGCUUCCUCUUGCCUUUGAGAGCUCCCCGACUCUUUUGACACUCUCUGUACAACUAGACAUAAAGAGAAAGAAAUAUACUUCUUACAGCUUAAGCCUCUCAUAUCUGGGGUCCUAUAAUGUAGAAAGAUGAGUUUAUCAAUAGUUAUGAAAGACAUAUAAAACAAUCAAUGUAAUUAACUUCAUUUUGGUUGCAGAGCAACCUUCUUUCUGUUCAUAAUGCUGAUGUUAGGCGUUGGACCUGAAACCGAAGCCUUCCAUGGAUAUUAAGAAGAGAACCAUGUGAAUCGUAGCUGAUCUGUUCUCUUCGACAUGUUUAAUAUGAACUCACUGGAAACAGGAAGAUUUAAUAAUCUAUUCAUGUAAAUAGAUUUGGUUUUGUUUUGUUGAUAUUUAAAUGUAAAAAAAGAAAGAGCAGAGCUAACCUGGGCAGUAAAUGUCUUUUUAAUGUGCUGUGGUGAUGAGCAGUUACAGAUAUGACCUCAGCUGGACCUGUGUGUGUGUGCGUGUGUGUGUGCUGAAAACACAAAUAUAGUCUCACACUCAACUGGGAAAAUAAACUUAAUUCAUCCUCAUUAACUGUAUGUGGAUCACUGCAUCGCCUCUUAACUCUAUUGUGCAAGUAAAUGGGAAAAUGAAACUGGAAUAAUAAAAUAUGAAAUAAUACAA